GGGCCCCUGUGAUGUCCAGCACUGGGCUCUGACCUCCCCUGAGGACACAGUGCCCCCCCAGGGACCUUUGACACCCAGGGGUUCUGAGGGGCCC